AGUGAACGCUGGCGGUAGGCCUAACACAUGCAAGCCGAACGGCAGCACAGGAGAGCUUGCUCUCUGGGUGGCGAGUGGCGGACGGGUGAGGAAUACAUCGGAAUCUACUUUUUCGUGGGGGAUAACGUAGGGAAACUUACGCUAAUACCGCAUACGACCUACGGGUGAAAGCAGGGGACCUUCGGGCCUUGCGCGAUUGACUGAGCCGAUGUCGGAUUAGCUAGUUGGCGGGGUAAAGGCCCACCAAGGCGACGAUCCGUAGCUGGUCUGAGGGGAUGAUCAGCCACACUGGAACUGAGACACGGUCCAGACUCCUACGGGAGGCAGCAGUGGGGAAUAUUGGACAAUGGGCGCAAGCCUGAUCCAGCCAUACCGCGUGGGUGAAGAAGGCCUUCGGGUUGUAAAGCCCUUUUGUUGGGAAAGAAAUCCAGCUGGCUAAUACCCGGUUGGGAUGACGGUACCCAAAGAAUAAGCACCGGCUAACUUCGUGCCAGCCGCCGCCGUAA
rnacentral:rRNA from 1 species